UCUUCCAAUAUGCUAGUUUUAACAACUCUCGUUCUUUACACUUCUUCUUGGCUGCAUGGUUUAUACGUUAGCAGGUAAACCAUGAACCAGAAUGGAAAAUUAUAGAUGUUAAGUGGAAAUGAGAGCUAUCCCUCAACUCGUUCUUAUUUCUCCAGGUGGACGAAUUUUCCAUCUCCAGUGGAAAUAAAAUUAUCGCUAUUGGGCCUGGAGUUGGUCAAGGUACUGCUGCAGGACAAGCUGUAGAAGGUAUUGCGAGACAGCCAGAAGCAGAAGGUAAAAUACGCGGUACUUUAUUGCUUAGUCUAGCUUUUAUGGAAGCUUUAACAAUUUAUGGACUAGUUGUGGCACUGGCGCUUUUAUUUGCGAACCCUUUUGUUUAAUCCUAAAAAAGAAAACGAGUCCUUUAGAUUAGAUACUUUCUUCUUUUUUUAGUAAAUUGGUAUUUGCUUCUGCAAUUCCAAUUAUAUCAAUACUUUACUCCUAAUUUAUUACUCCUAGAGUUUUCUAUUUAUGGGGACAGACAAUACCCCACCCCAGGAAUAGCUGAUUUGAGGAUGAUCAAUUUAGAGGAUAUGUUCGCCGUCUUGCUUCCCGCCCUUUGUUUAGGGCAGUGGAAAGUAUUUUUCCUUUUAUUUUAGGAAUUUUGGGAACAUUUCAACAAAGGAGGUCUUUCACAGGUCAAACGAGAUCUAAGACUUAAUCUAAAAGAAAUUACUAAAUUGAAUCUAUUUCUAUUAAAAAAAAUUGCAUUAAAAAAACCGAUCAAAAAGGGCGAGCGAAGUAAGUGAUCGAAAAACUUUGUUCUUUGUUCGUCCUAUCUAUAAGAGGAGAGCAUAUGAAAAAUGUAACCCAUUCUUUCGUUUUUUUAGCUCACUGGCCAUCCGCUGGGAGUUUCGGGCUUAAUACCGAUAUUUUAGCAACAAAUCUAAUAAAUCUAACUGUAGUGGUUGGUGUAUUGAUUUAUUUUGGAAAGGGAGUGUGUGCGAGUUGUCUAUUUCAAGAAUAGAUUGGAUCUAUCCGGCUGCACUUUAGAAUAUUUUUUAGUAUUUUUCGAAUAAAUAAGAAAAGGGUGCACGAUCUCGACGAAUUACUUCUGAAUAAAUGCAGAAAUCAUAUGAAAGAACCAUAGCAUUUCGCGACCUAUUGGUAAAUCAAAUCAACUUUGAUUCUCUAUAGACCAAUAAUAUGAGACCAUUAACACGGUUAAAGCUAAACUGCUUGAAGUCUAGGCAAAAGGGGGUACUCUUUCUACAACUAUAUUAGUAUUAGUACCAAAUGCUUUAAACAGGAAAUAGCUAAUGUAGAAUUUAUCUGAUAUAGAACACUCAUAUCGAUAAAAUGGUUUGAACUAUUUACUAGAAGGGGCACCCUGCCCUUUUUUAUCCAAUGCCGAAUCGACGACCUAUGUAUAAAAAAGGAGAAAGUUUUUGGAUUUGAAGAAAAAAGUAGGAAUUCUAUCCAUUUUCAUUUUCCAUUUUUCUAUUUAGUUUUUCUUAAUGAAAUUGAAAAUUUUAACUAAAGGGCAAAUACAAAUAAAAAAACAACUUUGCUGCCCACGAUAGAUUUUUAUCUAGGCGGAAGAGUCCUCUUAAUAUUUAUCUAGUCUUAUAUGGGUUUCGGUAUAUUGAAAUAUAAACAGAAAAGAGAGGGUAGAGGAUAGGCUCAUUACAUUAAAAAAAAUAUGGAAGUAGCCAUAGCAAAAAAAGAAAAAAGGGAGCGUGAGAGCCAAAUGAAUCGAAAGAUUCAUGUUUGGUUCGGGAAGAGAUCAUAAAAGUUGUAAACUUAAUAGCAAGGUAAUCUACUUUCAUUAAAAGAUUUAUUAGAUAAUCGAAAACAGAGGAUCUUGAGUACUAUUCGAAAUUCGGAAGAAUUGCGUAGAGGAACCAUUGAGCAGCUCGAAAAAGCUCGAAUUCGAUUACAGAAAGUCGAACUAGAAGCGGAUGAGUAUCGAAUGAAUGGAUACUCUGAGAUAGAACGAGAAAAAGCAAAUUUGAUUAAUGCCACUUCUAUUAGUUUGGAACAAUUAGAAAAGUCUAAAAACGAAACCCUUUAUUUUGAAAAACAAAGGGCGAUGAAUCAGGUCCGACAACGGGUUUUCCAACAAGCCGUACAAGGAGCUCUAGGAACUCUGAAUAGUUGUUUGAAUACCGAGUUACAUUUCCGUACGAUUCGUGCUAAUAUUAGCAUUCUCGGGGCCAUGGAAUGGAAGAGUUAAAUUAAUUAGGCCUUGAACUUCUACUUUCCUUUAGAAUUUAGGCAUUAUUUUUCCCCUUGCUUCCGAAAAAAAAAUAGUAAAGAAACACUAAUGGCAACCCUUCGAGUCGACGAAAUUCAUAAAAUUCUCCGCGAACGUAUUGAACAAUAUAAUAGAAAAGUAGGGAUUGAGAAUAUCGGUCGCGUAGUUCAAGUGGGGGAUGGGAUUGCUCGUAUUAUAGGUCUUGGUGAAAUAAUGUCAGGCGAAUUAGUCGAAUUUGCAGAAGGGACUAGGGGUAUUGCUCUGAAUUUGGAAUCCAAAAAUGUUGGGAUUGUAUUAAUGGGCGAUGGGUUGAUGAUACAAGAGGGCAGUUUUGUAAAAGCAACAGGAAGAAUUGCUCAGAUACCCGUGAGCGAGGCUUACUUGGGUCGUGUUAUAAAUGCUCUGGCUAAACCUAUUGAUGGGAGAGGCGAAAUUGUAGCUUCGGAAUCUCGCUUAAUUGAAUCUCCUGCUCCGGGUAUAAUUUCCAGGCGUUCUGUAUAUGAACCCCUUCAAACGGGGCUUAUUGCUAUCGAUUCGAUGAUUCCUAUUGGGCGCGGUCAGCGAGAGUUAAUUAUUGGGGACAGACAAACCGGCAAAACAGCAGUAGCUACAGAUACAAUUCUCAAUCAAAAAGGGCAAGAUGUAAUAUGUGUUUAUGUAGCUAUCGGUCAAAGAGCAUCCUCCGUAGCUCAAGUAGUAACUACUUUCCAUGAAGAGGGGGCCAUGGAAUACACUAUUGUAGUAGCUGAAAUGGCGGAUUCCCCUGCUACAUUACAAUACCUCGCUCCUUAUACGGGAGCAGCCCUGGCUGAGUAUUUUAUGUACCGCGAACGGCAUACUUUAAUAAUUUAUGAUGAUCUCUCCAAACAGGCACAAGCUUAUCGCCAAAUGUCCCUUCUAUUAAGAAGACCCCCCGGCCGCGAAGCUUACCCAGGGGAUGUUUUUUAUUUGCAUUCACGCCUUUUAGAAAGAGCCGCUAAAUUAAAUUCUCUUUUAGGGGAAGGAAGUAUGACUGCUUUACCAAUAGUUGAGACUCAAUCUGGAGACGUUUCCGCCUAUAUUCCUACUAAUGUAAUCUCCAUUACAGAUGGACAAAUAUUCUUAUCCGCAGAUCUAUUCAAUGCCGGAAUUCGGCCUGCUAUUAAUGUGGGUAUUUCCGUUUCCAGAGUAGGAUCCGCGGCUCAAAUUAAAGCCAUGAAACAAGUAGCUGGCAAAUCAAAAUUGGAAUUAGCUCAAUUCGCAGAGUUACAAGCCUUUGCACAAUUCGCCUCUGCUCUCGAUAAAACAAGUCAGAAUCAAUUGGCAAGGGGCCGACGAUUACGAGAAUUGCUUAAACAAUCCCAAGCAAAUCCUCUUCCAGUGGAAGAGCAGAUAGCUACUAUUUAUAUCGGAACAAGAGGAUAUCUUGAUUCCUUAGAAAUUGGACAGGUAAAGAAAUUUCUGGAUGAGUUACGUAAACACCUAAAAGAUACUAAACCUCAAUUCCAAGAAAUUAUAUCUUCUAGCAAGACAUUCACCGAGGAAGCGGAAAUCCUUUUGAAGGAAGCUAUUCAGGAACAACUCGAACGGUUUUCCCUUCAGGAACAAACAUAAAUUUUGCACGUCUACUCUUGUUAGUAGAAGUAGUAGAGGAGAAAUCGUUGAGAAAGAUUUUUCAUUUGAAUCAUGCAAAAAAGUUUUCUUAGUUUUUAGUAUAGUUAUUUAAAGAAUAGAUAGAAAUAAGAUUGCGUCCAAUAGGAUUUGAACCUAUACCAAAGGUUUAGAAGACCUCUGUCCUAUCCAUUAGACAAUGGACGCUUUUUUCAUAUUUUCUUCUUUCUUUUCAUUUUUUAUCGGACCAAGAGAAAAAACUGUUAGACCAAAACUCUUUUAGGAAAGAAAAACAAAUGCAUAUACAAAUGUAUGAUGCAUAUAUCAUAAAGAAGGAAUAUGGAGCGGGUAGUGGGAAUCGAACCCGCAACCCCACGGUUAUGAGCCUUGUCAGCUACCAAACUGUUCUAUCCUGUUAAACUAAAGAGAGGGGAACUAGUGGAUAAAAGGGGGGUUGAAUACGCCCCUCUACCAUAUCUAUACAAAUAGAAUAGUCCAUUUAUACAGAAUGGUAAAGAGGGCUCUUCUACGAUCAUCAAUUCCAGAAAUCCAUACAAAUACGAAAGGGUAUUUUAUCCUUACCAACUGGAUCUUGUUGCACCCGGUAACAAACAUGCAUAAACCAUUUCUCGAAGUAUGUGUCCGGAUAGCCCAAAGUCUCGAUAGUUAGCUCUAGGUCUUCCGGUCAAAAAACAACGUCGAUGAAGGCGUGUCGGUGCACUAUUACGUGGCAGGGAUUGCAAUUUUUCUCGCAUUUUCGUUUUUUCACUCAAACUCAAAGGGUAAACUUUGCUUCUUAUCUUUUUUUUUGAAGAUCGACGAAUCAAAUGAUAUUUCUGUUCUAAUUUCUGCCGCUUCCUCUCUCUCUGAAUCAAACUUUUUUUUGCCAUAAUGUGCCGUUCCUACUAUCUACCAAGUAUACGGUUCUAAUCCUAGAUGGAAAAAUAAAUAGAAAAAGAAAUCUAAGAAGGCGGAUCCUCCCCCUCCAUCAAGAGUAAUGAACUAGGUGCUGAUACAGUACAACAAAAUUAACUAAAUUAACCAAACUUGCCUGAUGUUGAGGCAAUCAAGAAAGCGGCAUAAGUGAAUAUAUAACCCACGGAAAAGUGAGCUAAUCCCACCAAUCUUGCUUGCACAAUGGAAAGAGCCACGGGCUUAUCUCUCCAGCGAAUUAAAUUAGCCAAAGGUGUCCGUUCAUGAGCCCAUGCUAAAGUCUCAAUUAAUUCCUGCCAAUAUCCACGCCAGGAAAUUAAGAACAUAAAUCCAGUCGCCCAAACAAGAUGUCCAAAUAAGAACAUCCACGCCCAUACCGAUAAACUAUUCAUCCCAAAAGGAUUAUAUCCAUUGAUAAGUUGUGAAGAGUUUAACCAUAGGUAAUCUCUUAACCAUCCCAUCAAAUAAGUGGAGGAUUCAUUAAAUUGUGAAACGUUGCCCUGCCAUAAUGUGAUGUGUUUCCAACGCCAAUAAAAAGUAACCCAUCCAAUGGUAUUUAACAUCCAGAAAACUGCCAAAUAAAACGCGUCCCAAGCAGAAAUAUCACAAGUACCGCCGCGACCAGGGCCGUCGCAAGGAAAACUAUAUCCAAAAUCUUUUUUAUCCGGCAUUAAUUUGGAACCGCGUGCAUCUAAAGCACCCUUUACUAAAAUCAAUGUAGUUGUAUGCAAACCUAAAGCAAUAGCAUGAUGAACCAAGAAAUCUCCAGGUCCUAUUGUUAAGAAAAGCGAAUUACUAUUCUCGUUAACAGCAUUCAACCAUCCGGGUAACCAUAGGGUUCGACCCGCAUUGAAAGCGGGACCGCUCGUUGAAGAUAAGAGUAUAUCGAACCCAUAUGUCGUCUUACCAUGAGCCGAUUGUAUCCAUUGAGCAAAUAUAGGUUCGAUCAAGAUUUGCUUUUCUGGAGUACCAAAAGCAAGCAUGACGUCAUUAUGAACAUAAAGGCCCAAGGUAUGGAAUCCUAGGAAGAGACUAGCCCAACUUAAAUGAGAUAUGAUAGCUUCUUUAUGGUCUAACAUUCUUGCCAAUACAUUAUCCUCAUUCUGUUCCGGAUUGAAAUCUCUAAUGAAAAAAAAUAGCUCCAUGAGCAAAAGCCCCUGUCAUGAUGAACCCUGCAAUGUAUUGGUGAUGAGUAUAUAAAGCUGCUUGAGUAGUAAAGUCUUGUGCUAUGAAUGCAUAAGAAGGUAAAGAGUACAUAUGUUGAGCUACUAAGGAAGUAAUAACCCCUAAAGAAGCUAGAGCAAGACCUAAUUGAAAAUGAAUCGAAUUAUUGAUUGUGUCGUAAAGGCCCUUAUGCCCACGCCCUAAUCGACCCCCCGGAGGAGUAUGUGCUUCUAAAAGAUCUUUGAUACUGUGCCCAAUUCCGAAGUUAGUUCGAUACAUAUGACCGGCAAUGAGAAAAAUAAAUGCAAUAGCUAAAUGAUGAUGAGCAAUAUCGGUCAGCCACAAACUUUGUGUUUGUGGAUGGAAUCCCCCAAGAAGAGUUAGAAUAGCAGUUCCCGCUCCUUGAGUGGUACCAAAUAAAUGAUUACUCGAAUCGGGGUUUUGGGCAUAAAGAUUCCACUGACCCGUCAGAAGGGGUCCCAACCCCUGUGGAUAGGGUAAUACAUCUAAGAAAUUAUUCCAUCGAACGUACUCUCCCCUGGAUGCUGGAAUAGCGACAUGAACUAAAUGUCCUGUCCAAGCCAAAGAACUUACCCCGAAAAGUCCUGACAAAUGAUGAUUGAGACGAGAUUCCGCGUUUUUGAACCACGAAAGGCUUGGUUUCCAUUUGGGUUGUAGAUGUAACCAACCCCCUAUUAAGGAUAGGGUAGAAAGAAAUAAUAGAAAAAGAGCUCCUGUAUAAAGAUCUUCAUUGGUCCGUAAUCCAAUUGUAUACCACCACUGAUAAACCCCAGAAUAGGCGAUAUUCACUGGACCGGCGGCGCCUCCUCGAGUAAAGGCUUCCACAGCGGGUUGACCAAAAUGAGGAUCCCAAAUCGCAUGAGCAAUAGGUCUUACGUGUAAAGGAUCCUGUAUCCAUGAUUCAAAAUUUCCUUGCCAAGCGACAUGAAACAGAUUUCCGGACGUCCAUAGAAAGAUUAUUGCUAAUUGCCCAAAGUGAGAAGCAAAAAUGUUCUGAUAAAGACGUUCCUCAGUAAUAUCAUCAUGACUUUCGAAAUCAUGUGCGGUAGCAAUACCAAACCAAAUACGACGAGUAGUGGGGUCCUGAGCUAAGCCUUGGCUAAACCUGGGAAAUCUUAAUUCCAUAAUGCCUUUCAAAUCCUCCUAGCCACUAUCCUACUGCAAUAAUUCUCGCUAAGAAGAAUGCCCAUGUUGUGGCAAUUCCACCCAGAAGGUAAUGGGUUACUCCUACAGCACGUCCUUGUAUAAUGCUCAAGGCUCUAGGCUGAGUAGCAGGAGCAACUUUUAAUUUGUUAUGAGCCCAAACGAUAGAUUCAAUCAGUUCUUGCCAAUAACCACGGCCGCUGAAUAAAAACAUUAAACUGAAGGCCCAGACAAAAUGAGCACCUAAGAAAAAAAGACCAUAUGCGGAUAAUGAAGAACCAUAAGACUGAAUUACUUGGGAUGCCUGUGCCCACAAGAAAUCUCGGAGCCACCCAUUAAUCGUAAUGGAACUCUGUGCAAAGUUUCCCCCUGUGAUAUGAGUUACCACCCCUUGAUCACUUAUAGUACCCCAAACAUCCGACUGCAUUUUCCAACUGAAAUGGAAAAUGACUACCGAAAUGGAAUUGUACAUCCAGAAUAGACCUAAGAAAACAUGAUCCCAGGCGGAUACUUGACAUGUUCCCCCUCGCCCAGGCCCAUCGCAAGGGAAGCGAAAACCAAGAUUUGCUUUAUCGGGUAUCAAACGGGAACUGCGAGCAAAUAAAACACCUUUCAAAAGUAUUAAUACAGUCACAUGGAUUGUAAAUGCGUGAAUGUGAUGGACUAAAAAAUCUGCGGUUCCUAAUGGAAUAGGUAACAAAGCAACUUUGCCGCCUACUGCUACUAACUCGCCACCUCCCCACGUUAAGCUGGUACUUGUUGUUGCACCAGGAGCUGUUACGCUAGGCGCGCCAGCAUGGAGAUUUUGUACCCAUUGAGCAAAGAUCGGUUGUAAUUGUAUGGCGGUAUCCGAAAACAUAUCUUGGGGACGACCUAAAGCACUCAUGGUAUCAUUAUGAAUGUAUAAACCAAAACUGUGAAAACCUAGAAAUAUACAUACCCAGUUAAGGUGGGAUAUGAUUGCAUCACGGUGUCUAAGGACACGAUCUAAUAGAUCGUUGUAUCGAGUCGUUGGAUCAUAGUCUCUUACCAUAAAAAUGGCUGCAUGUGCAGCAGCACCAACUAUUAGAAAUCCGCCAAUCCACAUGUGGUGUGUGAACAAGGAAAGUUGUGUACCAUAGUCAGUAGCUAGGUAUGGAUAGGGGGGCAUAGAGUACAUAUGAUGAGCUACAACAAUGGUUGUAGAGCCUAGCAUAGCUAGGUUAAGAGAUAAUUGAGCAUGCCAUGACGUUGUUAGGAUUUCAUAGAGACCUUUAUGGCCCUGUCCUGUAAAUGGGCCUUUAUGAGCCUCCAAAAUAUCUUUCAGGCCAUGACCAAUACCCCAGUUGGUCCUAUACAUAUGACCUGCGAUCAGGAAAAGAAUAGCAAUAGCUAAAUGAUGGUGCGCAAUAUCGCUCAACCAUAGACCGCCGGUUAUUGGAUCUAGCCCUCCGCGAAAACUAAGAAAUUCUGCGUAUUUGGACCAAUUCAAGGUGAAAAAAGGGGUUGCUCCUUCGGCAAAACUAGGAUAAAGUUGAGCCAAAAGGUCGCGAUUCAAGAUAAAUUCAUGAGGAAGUGGUAUCUCCUUAGGAUCAACCCCAGCGUCAAGAAAUUGGUUAAUCGGUAAAGAUACAUGGAUUUGGUGCCCCGCCCAAGAAAGAGACCCAAGUCCUAAUAACCCUGCUAAGUGAUGAUUCAACAUGGAUUCUACGUCUUGGAACCAGGCUAAUUUGGGAGCGGCUUUGUGAUAAUGGAACCACCCAGCAAAAAGCAUUAACGAUGCAAAAAUCAAUGCACCGAUUGCGGUACAAUAGAGUUGUAAUUCACUAGUUAUUCCGGAUGCUCGCCAAAUCUGAAAAAACCCGGAGGUUAUUUGGAUUCCUCGGAAACCCCCGCCUACAUCACCAUUCAAUAUUUCUUGCCCUACGAUUGGCCAAACUACCUGAGCACUGGGUCCAAUGUGAGUAGGAUCACUUAGCCAUGCUUCAUAAUUGGAAAAACGGGCACCAUGGAAGUACAUGCCACUCAACCAAAGAAAGAUAAUGGAGAGUUGACCGAAAUGAGCACUAAAGACUUUUCGAGAGAUCUCCUCCAAAUCACCUGUAUGACUAUCGAAAUCGUGAGCAUCAGCAUGUAGGUUCCAGAUCCAAGUGGUAGUAUCAGGGCCCUUAGCUAUUGUUCUUGAGAAAUGGCCGGGUCUGGCCCAUUCCUCAAAAGAUGUUUUUACAGGAUCCCUAUCCACAACAAUUUUUACUUCUGGUUCCGGCGAACGAAUCAUCAUUAAGUCCUCCUCUUUCCGGACAAGACAUACAAAGAGACCCGCCAACUUUUUAGUGAACCUUUGAAAGAUAGAUAUUAUGAUUAGUCCUUUUCUUUACUAUCUACCGUCCUUCUAUUUUUUUUUAGUUAUUCACUGGAGCAAUUAUAUAUUGAAGUCAAUCUGAGGCAAGUGUUCGGAUCUAUUAUGACAUAAGGAUUGGGUGCCUAACGGACUUUUUUUAUCUUGGAUUUCUCCACGUAACAAAAAAACCUUUUUUUAAUUUAAAAAGCUAGUCUAUUUUUUUUAAGAGUAUAAGUCCCUAUCUAUAUCUACUUUCCUUGAGCAUAAUAUAGAUUUUUUUAUUCGAUUCCAAAUUCCAAGAUAACUCAUUAGAAUUAUUAAUAAGAUGGUCCUGAUAUAUUAGCAAUAUUUAUAUUGCCCCUUUUUAUUCGCUUUAUUACUUCUAUUCUAGACCCUAUCGUUUAUCCUUAUGAAAUAUAAUAUAAAAUAGAAGGCAGAGGAAAGAGAUAUAAUGAAAUUCUUGAUUCGAUCUUCCGACCUAAUUUAUUUGAUUAAUGGAUCAACAACCAAACCCCCAUUUUCUGAAAAAGGAGAGUGGUCUUAUUCAAAUUCAAAGCGCUUCGUAAUCUUCAACCAGUUCUGUGCUUCAAUAUAAUUUCCCGGAGUAAGCGCUAUAGCUUGUUUCCAAUACUCAGCAGCUUGAUCAAACCAAGCUUCUGCAAUUUCUGAAUCACCGGUAGAAGGCCGUUUCUCCCCGUCGGAUAGGUACUCCUUCCCCUGGACCGUACUGGAGAUUUCCAACCUCAUACGGCUCAGAAAUUGCUAUCGUAAUUUCCCCUGUUCUUAGCUGAAUUCGAUUUCUCAAAAAUCGAUCCGAUUUCUUCUUGGGUUACGCAGAAGAAGUUAAUUACCUAAGUUUCAAACCCUAAAUUUUGAUCAAUAAUCAGUUUGAUCUUUUCUCCCACCUGCAGAAAAAUGAAGCAUAGAUAGACCUAUAUCCUUCGUCCGAAUUUUCUGAAAGGUAACUAUCUCGGUUUCAUAUAUGAAAUUUCUAUAGAAUCCUUGAAAAAGACUUUUUCCCCAUAAGCAAGAAAAAAGAACUUACUAUCUUUGGGAUCUGAUACUACACCGCUGCUUAAUCCCUUAGUGGAUCGGCUCUAUUACAUAAGCGGAUUCCUAAAUUUUGCCCCAUAUCAUGGGAUAAGUAAGCAGUUUUUUUUAGUUGUAUCGACCCAGUCGGUCACUAAUUGAUCUUUACGGUGCUUUCUCUAUCAAUUUGAGAACUCUAUCCAUAGAGUAGUAUAGGCCAUACUUUCUUUCUUCCUAUUUUGAUUCUCGUGAAGUGUCCUUUCUUCCUACAGCUGAUAGGGCAAAAUCGUUGUUUUGACGAUCCCUAUGUAGAAAGCCCCCUUUUCUAGUAAAUACUAGAAAAUUUGAUCCUUUCUUAUUUUUCUUUCUAUAGUGGAGAUAGUCGCACGUAAUGACAGAUCACGGCCAUAUUAUUAAAAGCUUGUGGUAAGAAGGGGUUUCGUUCUAGUGCCCGGAAAUAAUAUUCCAAAGCCUUUGUAUGCUCUCCAUUGCUUGUGUGUAUAAGGCCUAUGUUAUAGAGUAUAUAACUUCGAUCAUAGGGAUCAAUUUCUAGUCGCGUAGCUUCAUAAUAAUUUUGCAAAGCUUCCGCAUAAUUUCCUUCGGAUUGAGCCAACAUCCGUUACGGUCGUUCGUUCUAUUCAAAAAAUCUCCGUUCCAAAACCUUACAUGAGGUUUUCACCUCAUACGGCUCCUCCCUUCUGUACAUAGUACUAAGCGAAAAAAUCUAGAGAAUAAAAAUAGAAUUAGUUCCAUCUCAUUAUGGACCGAAAGGGGCUGGUAUUUUUCCAAGAAAUCUCUAGCCAACCUUCCCACAAGAGGUUUUUCUUAACACCAAUGAAUUCUAUUAAUGCUAGAGGAAAACGAUAGCUCCAAGAAUUUCUUUGUUCUCAACGCCUCCUAUUUAGAGGAAUUAGCCACUUCAACGAUCUUUGAUGGUUAUAGGGGUAUCCAAAGUACAAACUUGAUGGUUGUUUGUUAUCCCAACCAUUCUUCCCAGCCCUGAUACCAAUCAGGAAAGGGUUAAUUUCUAACAAAGUUUUUCUCUUGUUGAUUCCUAUUUCUAGGUGUAGUGCUUUUAUCCCCUAUGCUACCUAUUAGUACUAGUAGAGUAGGAUUAGCCUGUAAUACAGAACCUAUCCUGUAGGUGUAACCUUUCGCUCAAUACUAAAAUCUACAAUUGAAGCAUCCGAGGCUGCGUCAGUCGAGGAUACACGACAGAAGGAGUUGUUAGUUCACCUCACCUUCCCUAAGCGUGGGUUUCCCUUACUAAUUUGGUUUUCUCUCCGCGAACCCCCACUCUUUCUCGUAAAACCGGGGUGUAGGUAGGGCUAAAAAAACAAAAAAAAGAGUCAAAUCGCACCAUCUCUAUAAUAAGUAAAUGCCCUUUUUUCCCCGGAGGUUGUCGGAAUUAUUCGCAAUAAAAUAUUGGCUACAAUUGAGAAGGUCUUAUCAAUGAAAUUUCCAUUUAUACGGGAUCUAGGCAUAAUUCCCAACCCAUUCUAUCAUUCUAUAUAGAAUUCUUUUCAUUCCUUCACAAAAUAACAUAAAAAAAAACAAAUCCAUUCAAUUCUUAUAAAUCGAUCCCUAUGCUCCAAAUGGAUAAGAGAGGUAUUUCUGCUCAGCCCAAAUUCUCUCUUUUUCCUUCUGUUUGAACAAGAAGAGAUAGAAAAUAUUUGACUAAGAUUGGAUUUCAUUCCACUUUCCUAUUUCUUUUCUCAACAACAACUUCUCUCAUCAACUAUUUCGCAUUUUCAAAGUCAUUAAUCGUCCCAUACCCUAUUUUCUAUUUGAUUGUAUGGGGUAGGAUACCUUAUGCAAACAGAAUUCUAGGGUUCCUUUUUUAUCGAAUAAGAAGAAUUCUUCCAUUCUCUUUUUCUUUGGUUUGGGGAAAACCCAAACUAAAACUUUUCGAGGGAGCGGAAUUCCUAGUAAAAAAAUCCUGGACCCGUCCACUUAGAUGAAAAGGAAUUUUUCUAUCUAAUAGAACAAUGGAACUCUCGCGCGGUUGUGGUUGUACCUGUACUGCAGGAAUAGGAAAACUCGCUAUUCACUCAGUUUUUUUUCCAUAAUAAGAUUAUGGAGGAGAGAUGGCCGAGCGGUUCAAGGCGUAGCAUUGGAACUGCUAUGUAGACUUUUGUUUACCGAGGGUUCGAAUCCCUCUCUUUCCGUUUUUCUUAAUUCAGCAACGUUAAUGAUUACAAUGUAUCAAAUCAAAUGACAAUUUAUUCCAGCAAUAAUACAAUACCUUUAUUUAAUAGAAAUUCUCUAUACCAAAUUACUAUGGUAUGUAAAAUACACAUAGAGGAAAGAACAAAAAACAAAAAGGAAUCCUAGGGUUAAUCCAUUUCUGUUAGGUGAAUGGGAAAAUACGAAUUAAGAGCCUUAGGUCGAUUUAGUUCGGGGGAAAGGGGAAGGGGAAGAAAAUUCUAUGAACCUUUCCGUUUUUCCUUAAGUUCAAGUUUGACGAGAGUAAUAUUCUACAACUAACAACUCAUUUAUUUUGAGACCGACCCACUUCCUAUCCAGGAUUUUUUUUACUAGUCCUUUAUAUUGCAAUGUGUCAAUCGUCAAAUGCUUUGGCAAUUUCCCCGGGUCGGAUGAAGCAAUAGAAUUUUGAACCAGACGUUUUGAUCUUUGGUUAUCCUUCGUAGUAAUAAUAUCUCGGGGUUUGCAACGAAAACUUGGUAUAUCGACUAUACGACCAUUAACUAAAAUAUGUCUAUGGUUAACUAAUUGCCGGGCCUCGGGAAUGGUUGAAGCCAUACCUAAUCGAAAAAGGAUAUUAUCCAAACGCAUUUCAAGUAAUUGUAGUAAAACCUGACCUGUUGAACUUUUUGCUUUUCCAGCGAUAUGUACAUAUCUAAGUAAUUGUCGUUCUGUCAGACCAUAAUGAAAACGCAAUUUCUGUUUUUCUUGAAGACGAAUACGAUAUUGUUCUUUUUUCCCAGAAUGGAAUUUCUUUUUCAGAUUACUUCCGGAUUUAGGUGUUUUUCUAGUGAGUCCUGGUAAAGCUCCCAGACGGCGUAUUUUUUUAAAACGAGGUCCUCGAUAACGGGACAUGAAGACUCCUUUUUUUAUUGAAAUUUCAUUUUACACAAUUAAUUUCAUUGUAUUUACAUUACAGAAUACAUCGAAAUUAAAACUGAAUUAAAGUAAAGGAUAAACAGAGUAAAAUCUACUAAAAGUACCACAAAAAAAUGGAAUUUCAUCAACAUCUGAAUUUUUGUAUAUAUAUUAUUUAUUUUAUUGUUUUGUAUCUAGCAAAAUUGUAGGGUAGAACGACAUAAUAGAUCCUGGCUUCUCCAUUUAAUUCGGAGAAAAAGAGGUAUUUUUGUUCAUGGAACAUUGAUAGAGAAAAAAGCCGACUAUCGGAUUUGAACCGAUGACCCUCGCAUUACAAAUGCGAUGCUCUAACCUCUGAGCUAAGUGGGCUUACAUAACAGAAAUAGUGUAACAAAUAGAAAUAUGUAUAGUAUAGGAAAUCCGUAAAAUGUCAGAUCUUAAUUAUUAAUCUUAGCUAUUAACUAGUUCGAAAUUGGAAGUUCUACUUAGAAAAAAAUACUAGAACUUCAUAAAAUAAAGUUAGAUAGAUUUUUUUGAACUUUCUGUCUGGGUCGGCUGUUUGUGUAUUACACUUACUAUGAAUCUAGAGCCCAAGGAUCGCAAUCUUUGGCUUCAACCAUUCCCGAGGCCCGGCAAUUAGUUAACCAUAGACAUAUUUUAGUUAAUGGUCGUAUAGUCGAUAUACCAAGUUUUCGUUGCAAACCCCGAGAUAUUAUUACUACGAAGGAUAACCAAAGAUCAAAACGUCUGGUUCAAAAUUCUAUUGCUUCAUCCGACCCGGGGAAAUUGCCAAAGCAUUUGACGAUUGACACAUUGCAAUAUAAAGGACUAGUAAAAAAAAUCCUGGAUAGGAAGUGGGUCGGUCUCAAAAUAAAUGAGUUGUUAGUUGUAGAAUAUUACUCUCGUCAAACUUGAACUUAAGGAAAAACGGAAAGGUUCAUAGAAUUUUCUUCCCCUUCCCCUUUCCCCGAACUAAAUCGACCUAAGGCUCUUAAUUCGUAUUUUCCCAUUCACCUAACAGAAAUGGAUUAACCUAGGAUUCCUUUUGUUUUUUGUUCUUCCUCUAUGUGUUUUUCANNNNNNNNNNNNNNNNNNNNNNNNNNNNNNNNNNNNNNNNNNNNNNNNNNNNNNNNNNNNNNNNNNNNNNNNNNNNNNNNNNNNNNNNNNNNNNNNNNNNNNNNNNNNNNNNNNNNNNNNNNNNNNNNNNNNNNNNNNNNNNNNNNNNNNNNNNNNNNNNNNNNNNNNNNNNNNNNNNNNNNNNNNNNNNNNNNNNNNNNGUAUAUAGUCUAUAUUAUACUGUUAAAUAACAAGCCUUCUAUUAUCUUUCUAGUUAAUACGUGUGCUUGGGAGUCCUUGCAAUUUGAAUAAACCAAGAUCUUACCAUGACUGCAAUUUUAGAGAGACGCGAAAGUACAAGCCUGUGGGGUCGCUUCUGCAACUGGAUAACUAGCACCGAAAACCGUCUUUACAUCGGAUGGUUCGGUGUUUUGAUGAUCCCUACCUUAUUGACCGCAACUUCUGUAUUUAUUAUCGCCUUCAUCGCUGCCCCUCCAGUAGAUAUUGAUGGUAUUCGUGAGCCUGUUUCUGGUUCUUUACUUUACGGAAACAAUAUUAUCUCUGGUGCCAUUAUUCCUACUUCUGCGGCGAUCGGAUUGCACUUUUACCCAAUUUGGGAAGCUGCAUCUGUUGAUGAGUGGUUAUACAAUGGUGGUCCUUAUGAGCUAAUUGUUCUACACUUCUUACUUGGUGUAGCUUGUUAUAUGGGUCGUGAGUGGGAACUGAGUUUCCGUCUGGGUAUGCGUCCUUGGAUUGCUGUUGCAUAUUCAGCUCCUGUUGCAGCUGCUACUGCUGUUUUCUUGAUUUACCCUAUUGGUCAAGGAAGUUUCUCUGAUGGUAUGCCUUUAGGAAUAUCUGGUACUUUCAACUUUAUGAUUGUAUUCCAGGCAGAGCAUAACAUCCUUAUGCAUCCAUUUCACAUGUUAGGUGUAGCUGGUGUAUUCGGCGGUUCCCUAUUCAGUGCUAUGCAUGGUUCCUUGGUAACCUCUAGUUUGAUCAGGGAAACCACUGAAAACGAAUCUGCUAAUGAGGGUUACAGAUUUGGUCAAGAGGAAGAGACUUAUAAUAUUGUGGCCGCUCAUGGUUAUUUUGGCCGAUUAAUCUUCCAAUAUGCUAGUUUUAACAACUCUCGUUCUUUACACUUCUUCUUGGCUGCUUGGCCUGUAGUAGGGAUUUGGUUCACUGCUUUAGGUAUUAGUACUAUGGCUUUCAAUCUAAACGGAUUCAAUUUCAACCAAUCUGUAGUUGAUAGCCAAGGUCGCGUUAUUAAUACUUGG
rnacentral:lncRNA from 1 species